UACAGAGGGUGCGAGCGUUGUCCGGAAUCACUGGGCGUAAAGGGCGCGUAGGCGGCUUGGUAAGCGUGCGGUGAAAGCCCGGGGCUCAACCCCGGGUCGGCCGUGCGAACUGCUGGGCUGGAGCACUGUAGAGGCAGGUGGAAUUCCGGGUGUAGCGGUGGAAUGCGUAGAGAUCGGGAAGAACAUCGGUGGCGAAGGCGGUCUGCUGGGCCGUUGCUGACGCUGAGGCGCGACAGCGUGGGGAGCAAACAGG
rnacentral:rRNA from 1 species